AGGGGCGUAGCCACGUACUGGUGAGGGGGUUCAACUGAACCCCGUGAACUUGAAAAAAUUAUGGGUAGAUCUUAUAUACUUUGCACUUUGAAUCCCCUGAAACUUUACCUUUGCACCCACCAAAGAGAAGAAUAAAACACAGGACAAAGAAAAUAGAGAAGAGGAAGGUUCAUCAGAAGAUGCAAGGCAAAAAAAAGAUGAAAACAGAAGGAAGAACUGAUGCAGAAAGAUGUUACGGCGGCC
rnacentral:lncRNA from 1 species